GGGUCGGUGGCAGAGCGGUCAAAUGCACCAGUCUGUAAAACUGGAGUCCUUUGGACUACGAAGGUUCGAAUCCUUCCCGGCCCA
rnacentral:tRNA from 2 species